GCCCCCUUAGCUUAGAGGUAAAGCGCCGACCUUCUACUUUCGAAUGGCGAGUCGGAGAUCGCGGGUUCGAGCCCCGCAGGGGGUU